CGCGGGGUGGAGCAACAGGAAGCUCGUCGGGCUCAUAACCCGGAGGUUGCUGGUUCGAAUCCAGCCCCCGCAACCA
rnacentral:tRNA from 1 species